CCAAGAACAAUCAGAACUUUUCCCUUCCAUCGCCCCAACCUGAUUUUCCUCUUUCCUUCAUGCGGAGCGAGUGUGAGCGGGCUAGGGUUCCACGGCGCCGCCAUGCCCCGUCCUCGUCCCCACCUCACCCCACCGUCAAAUCCCCACUCUGGUGCUACUCUCUACGCCUCCACGCAUCCUCGUCGGCGUUGCGACCAGGAUUCGUCCAUGGCGCCCAGGACAAGGCGCACACAUCUAAAUCAUCGAGGGGCACCAGCGUAUCAUAGAAGAUGCGCUGGAUUUGGUGGUGACAUGAUCUGGGAAUCAGGGAAGAGACCUAGCUCCACCUUCCGCUCCGCUCUCCGGCCGUCCGACAGCGGAUCCCCCUUUCACCGCCCCCAGUUUGCCGGCUGGCCCCGUGGCCCGGCUCGGCCCUCCGCCAGUCCGCCCCCCAACUCACCGGCAGCAGCUGAGAGGCCCCCCUCCCCCCUGCUCGACCCUCCUAUUCUUUAGAUCUCGCCGUCGCUCGGUCGCCGGGCAAGCCGCUCGCCGCCGCACGCCCGCAAAGCAGGCAGCAAGAUGAAGCCGCCAUGGUGCUUGCCGGCCAUCCCUGAUGCAGAAUAUCACUCCUCUUCCCACCCUACCAUCGCUGUCAAGAUUGACACUUCUAAACAUCAAGAGCUUCACUCCUACAGUCCUAUGGCAACACAUUGUAGCAGUGGCAACCACCACACUGUUCAGGUCAUGUCUUUUCAAGUCUAGAAGAAUAUCAUUACCAUAAUUUCAAUCUUUGGAGCGUCUGAAAGUUCUCGAGAUUUAUCUAUUUUCCUAUUAGUUUCCAUGAUCUGUUGUAAAAACACAAAAGGGAUAAUUCAUUGAGGAAUAUGAACUGCAAGUAUAUGCAUUUAGUACCUGCAGUACUUGAGACAAAGGAGAAAUUUAGCUUGCUUAGUAGGUGAGCUAUGCAGUUAUGUACUACCAACCAUUUGUUCUUCUUUUGAAGUUAACAUUCAGCUCAUACUUCUCUGGGUAUAUUUACAAUGCUCUUACAACUUCUCUGUUUUAGCUUCUGAAAAUACUAGAAUCUUUCCUUGUCAUUUGUGCACCAGAGAAGUAUGAAUACAAUCCAGGUUGUUUUUUCUUCGGUAGACAAUCUGGGAUGUUAACUUCAUAAACUUGAAUUGAGCAUGCAGAUGUUACCGUUAGCUUCUUAAAUACCAUUCUGAUGAUGUGUUAAUUAACUAGGAUCUGCAGCAAGUUUGCAUACCUCUGGUGUUAACUUUAGUGAUAGUUUCUGAAACUUGAGUGCAUAGUACAACUUAAUACCAACUACAUGUUGAUUUCAUAUAUGGUGUUUUUGCUGCACAUGGGUUAAACAAUUAGAGUCGACAUCAUUUUUUCCCCUUGUAGUCUUGAACUAGCAGGUUGUAAUAAACCAUGCUAUGUGUGGCCUUAUCAAGUUUUGAAGAAUAUCAUCACCAUGCUAUGUGUGGCCGAUAGCACUCGAUGCACCAGUUUUGUGCCGUCAGUUUGUCCAAUUUUUUUAAUCAUCUUUCAGGUUCUAUGUUUUUUCUUUAUUAGCUAAAUUACAAUGUAACUGCUAGCAUGAGUCAUAUAUGGGAGUGCAGUCCGAAAGUUAGAAGAUGACAUGGUCUGCAAUAAUGUUCAGAUUCUAAAUUUUAUAUCGCUAGAAAUCCGGAAGUAUUAUCCAUGUUAUGUGUUAUUUUUCCAGGCUUACUCUUGGUUGGUUUGUCGGUAGGGGAUUAUUGGUCAGGAGUGAGGUAUCCAUUGUUCAAGAGGUAACAAUUGAGAAUUCAUGGAUUAUGUAAUUUCGAAUCAUGAUUUUUUUGGAGCAAAAUGUCAAUUAUUAACCUGAUUUACUUACUGAGAAGUUCAAUGGCAGACAUCUUGGUGAAAAAAAUAUCAAUUAUUGAUACCUAAUAUUCAUGUAUCAAGGUUUCAGAUUUGGAGGUUCUCAUUUUGACGAGCUUCAUUAGCUAUAAAUUUUUCCCGAGAAGCUGACCUAUGAUAAUUACUAAGCAAUAUAAAUAAAAUUCAAGAGGGACAACAACACCGAGUGUUGGAGGGCGCAAUUAGAAGGUGGAGGUCGUAUGCAUGCAUUUUGAUACUACACUUCUGCAUUGUGCAUUGUCCACCUAUUGCUAUUUAUUUUAGUUUGGUGGAAGUUGCUAAAAAUAUUGAUGUUAUCCCCUGAUUGAAUUUGCGGAAGUUUUCAGCUGGCGUUAUAAUAUGAUUGAGCACUGACAGGAGACCUAAUAUCCACUUGAAAUGUAAAUAAUAUGAACUCAUUCUAGGAGCUAUCGUAUACACCUUAUAGGAAAAGGAUGCAAAGCUUUCGAUUUAGAAAAAAGACACCAAGCCGCUUCCAUGUUGAAACUUUUACAGCAUGUGAUGAAACUGCAGCUAGCCGCAAAAUAAUCACCAGGGUUUUUAGGGUAGAAAUCCUCUGUAGGAGAUAACUAAAACUGAACUUUGAAGGAUUGGACUGCUUCUAUCAAUACGUAUGAAAACAUUAUGUAAAUUUAUCAUUUAGACGUCUGAUACUUUCUUGACAUUGCUAAUACCUGUGGAAGAACAAAGCCCUAGAUCAUAGUGGAUAGAAGAGAUGUGUGGGUUUAGUUUAAUUAUUUCUCUUGGUUGGCAGUAUCUGCUCAUUCCUGGCAAGCAGCAAGUACUUGUCCUUCUUUGUUAGCUCUGUGGGUAUGAACCCGAGUGCGGCGGUGAGCACACGCCUACUAUUGGCACAGGCUCCAGGACGUGGAUGGAGUACUCUACAUGUUGGCGAGGGAGCUGUUCACCGUGUAGGGCAACAUGCCACGGUACUGGAGCUGAACUCUAGGGUCAGGAUCGUUGACAAUCCUCCAGACCGAACAUACUCCUUUUACAAGCACGUAGGUGCAUUUGGAAGAUCGAUUCGAGGGUAUGACAAGACUAGGGUGAUCAUGUCAUGGAACCAUCAUUGGGCGCACCGUUUUAUUCUCAUGGUUACGACUUCUACAAAUUGUAUUCCUGGGAGCACAUUAGGAAGAGCGGGCCGAACUUGCAAAAGGACCAAACUGUUGUAUGCAUUGCUGAAAAUUGUCUAUAUAGUUUUAUAUCCAGUACCUAUAUAAUAAUAUAAAUCUGGAUUGUGAGAUGUAAGCUAAUGUUAUUUCUCAACAUGUUAAGGCGACAAAUUGGGCAUGACACUAAAGUUAGUUGUCCAUGUAUCAACUAUGAUCCUUGAUCAUUUAAGAUUAAAUGCUUGGCCCCUGGUAUGCUUCCCAGGGCUUCUACAUAGUGAA